AUUGAACGCUGGCGGCAGGCCUAACACACGCAAGUCGAGCGGAUGAAGGGAGCUUGCUCCUGGAUUCAGCGGCGGACGGGUGAGUAAUGCCUAGGAAUCUGCCUGGUAGUGGGGGAUAACGUCCGGAAACGGGCGCUAAUACCGCAUACGUCCUGAGGGAGAAAGUGUGGGAUCUUCGGACCUCACGCUAUCAGAUGAGCCUAGGUCGGAUUAGCUAGUUGGUGGGGUAAAGGCCUACCAAGGCGACGAUCCGUAACUGGUCUGAGAGGAUGAUCAGUCACACUGGAACUGAGACACGGUCCAGACUCCUACGGGAGGCAGCAGUGGGGAAUAUUGGACAAUGGGCGAAAGCCUGAUCCAGCCAUGCCGCGUGUGUGAAGAAGGUCUUCGGAUUGUAAAGCACUUUUAGUUGGGAGGAAGGGCAGUAAGUUAAUACCUUGCUGUUUUGACGUUACCAACAGAAUAAGCACCGGCUAACUUCGUG
rnacentral:rRNA from 1 species